CGAACCACGGCGCGCGGCAGCUGGACUACGUCCCGGCGACCAUCAGCGCCCUGGAGGAGGUGGUCACGGCGGCGGCGGGGCGCAUCCCGGUGUACCUCGACGGCGGCGUCCGCCGCGGCACCGACGUCUUCAAGGCGCUCGCCCUCGGCGCCGCCGGCGUCUUCAUCGGGAGGCCGGUGGUGUUCUCGCUGGCGGCGGCGGGGGAGGCCGGAGUCCGGAACGUGCUGCAGAUGCUCCGCGACGAGUUCGAGCUCACCAUGGCGCUCAGCGGCUGCACCUCCCUCGCCGACAUCACCCGCAACCACGUCAUCACCGAGGCCGACAAGCUCGGCGUCAUGCCGUCUCGCUUGUAAACAACAACGACGGCGAACUUGUCGCCGUCGAUCGAUCACCGGCCGGCCGCCGCGACACGCUUUGCCGGCCGACGGAUGAUCGGCCGGGAAUGAAGAAGAAGGUAGUAGCUGCCGAAGAAAAG
rnacentral:misc_RNA from 1 species